CCCUCGGAGGCAGUGGUGAUUAUCACCCCCACCUCCUACAGGGGAAGACACCACGACUACUGGGGUCAAUACUCUGUCCCGAAGCACACAGCCAGCGAGACACAGAGCCAGAGCUUGAAUGCUGGGAUCUCUAAACUCUCGGGUAUCGAAGACCACCACACAGUCCAAACUGUGGGCUUUCUUAUCAAACCAAGAGUCCGCAUUUCACUCAGGGUCAAGUCCGCUCCAACCGGCACCUCUCAGCUGGUCCCAGCUGGCCAGGCCAGCACCCGCCUCCUCAGGCCACAGCGGUCAGGUCCGGGUCUGCCACCAGCCCCGAGACCCAAGUGGACACAGACUGAGGGGCCGAGGCGGGAAGCCGCAGCCCGCGCGAGACCUGAGCGCGCGACCCACGCGGGCUGCCGGGCUCCAGCCCCGACGUCGCGGGCCGGGCGCGCGCAGACCCGGGGCCGACGCCCCCGCCGCGCGGCCCCAGGCCCGCCCCCGCCCCUCGGAGGUUUUCGCUUUCGCUUUCCUGCCGCGGUCGUUGAGGAAAAUAAAGCGGCCGUGACCAGAGCCGGCGCAGUUGCGAUCCGGCCGAAGGGCUCGGGGGUGCGGCGGCGGCCCGCUCGGAACCGGGGUCCCCAGGGCCGCGGCCCGCGCCGGGCGAGAUGGCAGCACGCCCUGGACCUCCUUGCAAGGGAGGCCGCGCUGAGGCCGGACAGCAGAGAAAUGAGAAAAUGGACUCCCUUCUCCUGGAGAUGUGAAUGCCAGCCACCAGCUGUGGGUGCUAGAGUUCCCAACCGACUGGAGGCAAACAACAGCCACAGGGGGUCAAGUUCAAGGACAGAAAGGGAACAGAAGCCAGAGAAGGCCAUGCUGCCUGUUCUGAGUUGCAUCCCUCCCUCCCAUGACUCAGAGCCCUCUGCCUGGUUCCACAAUACCCCGGCCAUCACUAACAGAAAAAGCCACCCCAUCUGAUUCUUCAUAGUCCUUGAGGAACUGGGUAAGGCCACCUUGUCUCUCCCUCUGCCCCCAGGUGAGAUUACUCUUAAAAGAUUCAAAAGGGGACCAGUGUUGUGGUAUAGUGAAUGAAGCCACCACCUACAGUGCCAGCAUCCUAUAUGGGCUCCAGUUCAUGUCCUAGCUGUUCCACUUCUGACCCGGCUCUCUGCUAAUGUGCCUAGGAAAAGCAGCGGAAGAUGGCCCAAGUGUUGGGCUCCUGCCACCCAAGUUGAAGAACUGGAUGAAGCUCCUGGCUCCUGGCUUCAGCCUGGCCCAGCUCUAGGUAUUGUGACUAUCUGGGGAGUGAACCAGCAGAUAAAAGAUCUCUCUCUCCCUUUCUCUUGUAAGUCUUCCAAAUAAAUAAAGUUUUAAAAAAAAUUUAAGAAGAUCC
rnacentral:lncRNA from 1 species